UACGAAGGGGGCUAGCGUUGCUCGGAAUCACUGGGCGUAAAGGGUGCGUAGGCGGGUCUUUAAGUCAGAGGUGAAAUCCUGGAGCUCAACUCCAGAACUGCCUUUGAUACUGAGGAUCUUGAGUACGGGAGAGGUGAGUGGAACUGCGAGUGUAGAGGUGAAAUUCGUAGAUAUUCGCAAGAACACCAGUGGCGAAGGCGGCUCACUGGCCCGUUACUGACGCUGAGGUGCGAAAGCGUGGGGAGCAAACAGG
rnacentral:rRNA from 1 species